UACGGAGGGUGCGAGCGUUGUCCGGAAUCACUGGGCGUAAAGGGCGCGUAGGCGGCGUGUUAAGUCACUUGUGAAAUCUCUGAGCUUAACUCAGAACGGUCAAGUGAUACUGAUGUGCUAGAGUGCAGAAGGGGCAACCGGAAUUCUUGGUGUAGCGGUGAAAUGCGUAGAUAUCAAGAGGAACACCUGAGGUGAAGACGGGUUGCUGGGCUGACACUGACGCUGAGGCGCGAAAGCUAGGGUAGCAAACGGG
rnacentral:rRNA from 1 species